UAGGGAAUUUUCGUCAAUGGGCGCAAGCCUGAACGAGCGAUGCCGCGUGAGUGAAGAAGGCCUUCGGUCGUAAAGCUCUGUUGCGGGGGAAAAAAGGCAGCAUCAGGAAAUGGGUGCUGACUGAUGGUGCCCCGCCAGAAAGUCNCGGCUAACUACGUGCC
rnacentral:rRNA from 1 species